AGAGUUUGAUCAUGGCUCAGGAUGAACGCUGGCGGCGUGCCUAAUACAUGCAAGUCGAACGAGGUGCUUUUGUAGCAAUACGAGAGUAUCCUAGUGGCGAACGGGUGAGUAACGCGUUGGUGACCUACCCCAAAGUGUGGGAUAACAGUCCGAAAGGACUGCUAAUACCGCAUGUGGUCAUUGAAUUUAGAAACUGAUGACUAAAGGAGCAAUUCGCUUUGGGAGGGACCUGCGUCCCAUCAGCUAGUUGGUGAGGUAAUGGCUCACCAAGGCUACGACGGGUAGGGGACCUGAGAGGGUGGCCCCCCACAAUGGAACUGAAACACGGUCCAUACACCUACGGGUGGCAGCAGUAGGGAAUAUUGCUCAAUGGGCGAAAGCCUGAAGCAGCAACGCCGCGUGUGUGAUGAAGGCCUUCGGGUCGUAAAGCACUUUUCUGGGAGAUGAGAAAGGACAGUAUCCCAGGAAUAAGUCUCGGCUAACUACGUGCCAGCAGCCGCGGUAAUAC
rnacentral:rRNA from 1 species